CCUUCUUCAUCCGGGACCUACACCGCGCAGUGACUGCGUCAUCACCAGCUUGACAAGAGAAAAGAGAGUGAGGCAGUGAGAAAGAAAUUAAGAUUAAGCGCAAGAGCGAAAACUGAGUCAGUGUGAGAGAAAAUUGUAUCAGUGAUAAUGGGAACUGUAGAUGCUGGAGAAUCCAAGAUAAUAAAAUGUGAGGCUGGAUGAACACAGCAGGCCCAGCAGUAUCUCAGGAGCACAAAAGCUGACGUUUCGGGCCUAGGAUGAAGGGUCUAGGCCCGAAGCGUCAGCUUUUGUGCUCCUGGGCCUGUUGUGUUCAUCCGGCCUCACAUUUUAUUAUCAGUGUGAGAGAAACAAUGUGAAAGAUAGGGGUAGGGAUAGAGAAAGAAAUUGAGAGUGAAACAGAGAAAGAGAAACUGAAAGUCAGAGGAGUGGGAGUGAAACUGAGUGUGAGAAAGAUUGAUAGAGAUUUAAAUAGAGAGAGAGAGAGAAAGAAUGGGAGAUGAGAGGAAGGAGGGAGGCACACAGGCUGAGCUAAGGGACGUGAGUUGACUUUACAUCCGCUGUCCCGCCCAUUCCCCAUACCCCUCAGUGCCCAACAUUUGCUCUUCUCAAUCUUGAAUAUGAUCACUGAUGCAGUAUCUGUAAUGCUCUGGAGUAGAGAACUCAAAAGACACAAUCCUGUGAGUGAAGAAAGUUCCCUUCCCUUGUUCUGAGACACUGCACCCCUUUUGUGUUAGGUACCUUAACCAGGGGGGAAGCAAAACCUUGUAAAUAUCUGUCAAUCUCCUGCCAUCUUGUAUGUUUCGAUGAGAUCAUAUUCUCCUACAAAACAUUGGCCCAGAUAAGGCUCCUCCUCAUUUAUAUUGUGAGAAAACCCCCUCAUCUGUGAACUGUCUAGUGGAUGUCUAUAAAGUAUGCCAUUCCCCAGUUUAAGGGGUAUGCUGACCAUGCUGCGGCUCUCGGUUAUUUUUCCAGUAGGAGUAUUGCUUUUGAGGACGAUGGCGUGGACCUCUUCUGGAAACUCGCAUUCACAGCUAGUCCAGAAUCUUAAAAAAGGUGGUGUGAUUCGCUCUCAACGAGUGUUUGAUGCAAUGAUAGCUACAGACCGGGCGCUGUAUUGCAGAACUAACCCGUACGCUGAUUCUCCACAGUCGAUAGGUUAUCAGGCAACUAUUAGUGCACCUCACAUGCACGCACAUGCACUGGAAUGUCUGAACAGCCAUCUGUAUGAAGGGGCUCGAGCUCUGGAUGUGGGUUCUGGAAGUGGCUACUUGACUGCCUGCAUGGCCAAAAUGGUGGGAGCCACGGGGACAGUGGUUGGAAUUGACCACAUCCAGGAACUGGUGGAACAAUCCAUUCGCAAUGUGCAGUCGGAUAAUGCCACAUUGCUCAGCUCAGGCCGGCUCACUCUGAUUGUGGGAGAUGGCCGCCGCGGUUACCCCGAAGGAGCGCCUUAUGAUGCCAUUCACGUGGGUGCAGCUGCAGCUGUAGUUCCUCAGAACGUAAUUGCUGGAUCAGCUGAAGCCUGGUGGCCGUAUGGUCGUUCCAGUUGGUGUAAGCGGGGGGAGUCAGUCAUUACAGCAGUUUGACAAAACGUUAGAUGGAACCAUUGUCCGCACCACACUGAUGGGAGUGAUAUACGUGCCCCUGACGGAUCGGGAGAAGCAGCUAAGAGGGCAUGACCUGUGAAGGAAUGAGGCAGAGUCUCGCCAAUACCCCCUGGAGGACCUGAUUCUGUGCGGCUGACGAAGAUUGUGUUUUGACCUCAGUAUCACUCUCACUCGAUGGAAAUCAGUGCUAUGCCUUAGGUUUGGAUGGUGGGGUUACUCUUGGAUAUCAAUGAACUGGUUUGAACGUGGGUGGUCAGUACUAUUGACAUGACUGUAGAACGGCCCACAGUGUGUCUCUGUGGUGUAGAUGGAAUCUACAAUAAAACAUCUGCUUGGCUCACAACAA